rnacentral:rRNA from 1 species
GAGACAGCAGUAGCCGCGGUAAUACGUAGGGUGCAAGCGUUAAUCGGAAUUACUGGGCGUAAAGCGUGCGCAGGCGGUUAUAUAAGACAGAUGUGAAAUCCCCGGGCUCAACCUGGGAACUGCAUUUGUGACUGUAUAGCUAGAGUACGGCAGAGGGGGAUGGAAUUCUGCGUGUAGCAGUGAAAUGCGUAGAUAUGCGGAGGAACACCGAUGGCGAAGGCAAUCCCCUGGGCCUGUACUGACGCUCAUGCACGAAAGCGUGGGGAGCAAACAGGAUUAGAUACCCCUGUAGUCCCUGUCUCUUAUAC